UGCCUUGCUGCUGACUGAGCAGGAGGAAAGACCAGGUCCCUGGGGAACUGAAAGUAGCUUGGAAUGACCAUUAACACCAACUGAGAUUGGUGGUGUAGACUUCACGAAAAAAUACAAGUUCCUGCAUAGACUAGAUUUCAUCUCCUCCCCACGAGCUUCAGAGACCCACAAGUCUAGCAUCCAGUGGUCCAAGCUUCCGUCUUCCUAAGUAGCCUUGCCUGCGUCUACAGUUGCCACUUCCUAAUUACAGGAUCCCAAGAUCUCUCACCCCCUCUGUUACAGAAAAUCUACUUUUAUCCCUUGAAAAAGACAUUUCUACUACUACCAAAAAAAAAAAAAAAAAAAAA